rnacentral:rRNA from 1 species
UGCAAGUCGAGCGGAAGGCCCUUCGGGGUACUCGAGCGGCGAACGGGUGAGUAACACUUGGGCAACCUGCCCCUCGCUCUGGGAUAACUCCGGGAAACCGGGGCUAAUACCGGAUACGACCACGGACGACAUCGUCCGUGGUGGAAAGUUUUUCGGCGAGGGAUGGGCCCGCGGCCUAUCAGCUUGUUGGUGGGGUAACGGCCCACCAAGGCGACGACGGGUAGCCGGCCUGAGAGGGCGACCGGCCACACUGGGACUGAGACACGSCCCAGAYUCCUACGGGAAGGCAGCAGUGGGGAAUAUUGCGCAAUGGGCGAAAGCCUGACGCAGCGACGCCCGCGUGAGGGAUGAAGGCCUUCGGGUUGUAAACCUCUUUCAGCAGGGACGAAAUCAGACGGUACCUGCAGAAGAAGCACCGGCCCAACUACGUGCCAGCAGCCGCGGUAAUACGUAGGGUGCAAGCGUUGUCCGGAAUUAUUGGGCGUAAAGAGCUCGUAGGCGGUUUGUCGCGUCGGCUGUGAAAACUCGGGGCUCAACCCCGAGCCUGCAGUCGAUACGGGCAGACUAGAGUGCUGUAGGGGAGACUGGAAUUCCUGGUGUAGCGGUGAAAUGCGCAGAUAUCAGGAGGAACACCGGUGGCGAAGGCGGGUCUCUGGGCAGUAACUGACGCUGAGGAGCGAAAGCGUGGGGAGCAAACAGGAUUAGAUACCCUGGUAGUCCACGCCGUAAACGGUGGGUGCUAGGUGUAGGUCGUAUUCCACGCGAUCUGUGCCGCAGCUAACGCAUUAAGCACCCCGCCUGGGGAGUACGGCCGCAAGGCUAAAACUCAAAGGAAUUGACGGGGGCCCGCACAAGCAGCGGAGCAUGUGGCUUAAUUCGACGCAACGCGAAGAACCUUACCAAGGCUUGACAUGCAGGGAAAUCUCACAGAGAUGUGAGGUCCGCAAGGGUCCUGCACAGGUGGUGCAUGGUUGUCGUCAGCUCGUGUCGUGAGAUGUUGGGUUAAGUCCCGCAACGAGCGCAACCCUCGUUCUAUGUUGCCAGCGCGUUAUGGCGGGGACUCAUAGGAGACUGCCGGGGUCAACUYSGAGGAAGGUGGGGACGACGUCAAAUCAUCAUGCCCCUUAUGUCUUGGGCUGCACACAUGCUACAAUGGCCGGUACAAAGGGCUGCUAAACCGCGAGGUGGAGCGAAUCCCAAAAAGCCGGUCUCAGUUCGGAUUGGGGUCUGCAACUCGACCCCAUGAAGUCGGAGUUGCUAGUAAUCGCAGAUCAGCAACGCUGCGGUGAAUACGUUCCCGGGCCUUGUACACUCCAACCGUCACGUCACGAAAGUCGGUAACACCCGAAGCCAGUGGCCCAACCGCAAGGAGGGAGC